rnacentral:rRNA from 1 species
GACGAACGCUGGCGGCGUGCUUAACACAUGCAAGUCGAACGGUGAAGCGCCUUCCUUUUUGGUGGGUGUGGAUGAGUGGCGAACGGGUGAGUAACACGUGAGUAACCUGCCCCCUUCUUCUGGAUAACCGCAUGAAAGUGUGGCUAAUACGGGAUAUUCUGGGUCUGUCGCAUGAUGGGUCUGGGAAAGAUAUUGUUUCGGUGGGGGAUGGGCUCGCGGCCUAUCAGCUUGUUGGUGGGGUGAUGGCCUACCAAGGCGGUGACGGGUAGCCGGCCUGAGAGGGUGGACGGUCACACUGGGACUGAGACACGGCCCAGACUCCUACGGGAGGCAGCAGUGGGGAAUAGUGCACAAUGGGAGCAAGCCUGAUGCAGCGACGCCGCGUGAGGGAUGGAGGCCUUCGGGUUGUGAACCUCUUUCGCCAGUGAAGCAGGCCUGCCUCGUUUGUGGGUGGGUUGACGGUAGCUGGAGAAGAAGCGCCGGCUAACUACGUG